GUCCUGGUGGUGCAACGGACAGCAUGCCGUCCUUCGAAGCCGGCGAUCCAGGUUCGAAUCCUGGCCGGGAUG
rnacentral:tRNA from 1 species